UACGUAGGCAGCAAGCGUUGUUCGGAGUUACUGGGCGUAAAGGGUGCGUAGGCGGUCCUGUAAGUAUGGUGUGAAAUCUCCCGGCUUAACUGGGAGGGUGCGCUAUAGACUGCGGGACUAGAGGGUGGGAGAGGAAAGUGGAAUUCCUGGUGUAGCGGUGAAAUGCGUAGAUAUCAGGAGGAACACCGGUGGUGUAAACGGCUUUCUGGACCAUUUCUGACGCUGAGGCACGAAAGCGUGGGUAGCAAGCAGG
rnacentral:rRNA from 1 species